UGUUCAACGAUUAAAACCCUUCGUCCCGCCUGUUUACCAAAAACAUCGCCUCUUGAAUAUCUAUAAGAGGUCCAGCCUGNCCAGUGACUCUGUUCAACGGCCGCGGUAUCCUAACCGUGCGAAGGUAGCGUAAUCACUUGUUCUUUAAAUGAGGACUAGUAUGAAUGGCACCACGAGGGUUAUACUGUCUCCUUUUUCUAAUCAGUGAAACUAAUCUCCCCGUGAAGAAGCGGGGAUUAAAAUAUAAGACGAGAAGACCCUAUGGAGCUUUAAACUUAAUAACAAGUACUACCCUUUAUUUAACUUUCAGAACAUAUACCUUUAUUCUAGUAUUAUGAUUAUUAGUUUUAGGUUGGGGUGACCGCGGAGCAAAAAUCAACCUCCACAUUGAACGGAACUCAUUCCUGAGCAAAAAGCCACGACUUUAAGCACCAACAAAUUGACAUCAAUUGACCCAAUAUUUUGAUCAACGAACCAAGUUACCCUAGGGAUAACAGCGCAAUCCACUUCAAGAGCUCCUAUCGACAAGUGGGUUUACGACCUCGAUGUUGGAUCAGGGUAUCCCAGUGGUGCAGCCGCUACUAAAGGUUCGUUUGUUCAACGAUUAAAACCCUACGUGAUCUGA
rnacentral:rRNA from 1 species